UCAGCCUCUUCUCCCACAUAACUAGAGACAGGACUAGAGGGAAUGGCUGCAAGUUUUGCCAGGGGAGAUUCAUGUUGGACGUCAGGACAAACUUCUCCAGAGAAGUGGUCAGGUGCUGAAACAGGCUGCCCAGGAAGAUUGUGGAGUCACUGUCCUUGGAGGUAUUCCUGACAAUUAAGGAUGACCUGAGCCAGCAAUGUGCUCUCACAGCCCAAAAAGCCAGCCGACCAUAUCCUGGGCGUCAUCAAAAGAAGCAUGGCCAGCAGGGUGAGGGAGGUGAUCCUGCCCUUCUGCUCUGCAUUGGUUCUCUAAGUGGGAGGAGAAUUGCAAAGGCAAAAGUAAAAAUGACAUUGCACUAGAAAAUCAGCAAACCAGCAGCUCUAUCCCCCACGGUAGUGGAAAGAGAUGUGGAAGUAACACUUGCUUGGCUGCUGUUUGUUCGGUGAACCAAGAGAGUGACUCCAGCUAGCGCUGCUGGCAUGCACGGAGCUAUGAUUCUUGCUGGACUGAAAUGGUUCUUCGAAUAUUUCUGAAUAAACUUCAGUUCAUGCCAGUGAGUAAUGUGUUAUUCAGAGAUGAUACUCUGUUGGGAAUUUCUUGUAUUUUCAUUUUGGGGAAAAGGUGAAGGAUUAAAUCUCUAUGGAAGAUACCGUAAAUAAUUCUCAUACAUAUUUGCAUAUGGACUGAAUAAGCAAAAAUCCCUUCUCACAGAGAAGAAAUUGGAUUGUAAGGGACACCUAAUAAAAUUACAUGUGAUUAUUGAAAUAUUGGGUAUUUCAUUACAUUUUUUAACCCUUGGACUCUCAGACUCUCCACUGAAGCUAUAAUCAAACUGCGUUUCUACUAGGGAAAAAAACAACAGUCUUCA